rnacentral:rRNA from 1 species
GAUGAACGCUGGCGGCGUGCCUAAUACAUGCAAGUCGAACGAACAGACGAGGAGCUUGCUCCUCUGACGUUAGCGGCGGACGUGUGAGUAACACGUGUAUCACCUACCUAUAAGACGGGGAUAACUUCGAGAAACCGGAGCUAAUACCGUAUAAUAUAUUGAACCGCAUUGUUCAAUAGUAAAAUACGGUUUUGCUGUCACUUAUAGAUGGAUCCGCGCCUCAUUAGCUAGUUGGUAGAUAACGGCCUACCAAGGCGACAAUGCGUAGCCGACCUGAGAGGGUGAUCGGCAAACUUGGAACGGAGCCACGGCCCAGAUUCCUCCGGGAGGAAGCAGUAGGGAACUUUCCGAAAUGGGCGAAAGCCUGCCGGAGAAACGCGGCGUGAGUGAUGAAGGUCUUCGGAUCGUAAACCUCUGUUAUUAGGGAAGAACAAAUGUGUAAGUAAAUAUGCACGUUUUGACGGUACCUAAUCAGAAAGCCACGGCUAACUACGUG